rnacentral:tRNA from 1 species
AUCCCCAAUAAAAAGG